rnacentral:lncRNA from 10 species
GGGUGUCCCGCGGCGCCGGAAACUGGGCGCACACACCCUCGGAUUGACGUGCGCACGCGCACCGGUUACCUUCAGGAGCGCCGAAGAAGGAAAGAAGAUGGAGUUGAGCUCUGUCGCCCAGGCUGGAGUGCAGUGGCACCAUCUCAGCUGACUGUGACCUCCGCCUCCUGGGUUCAAGUGAUUCUCCUGCAUCAGCCUCCCGAGUAGCUGGGACUACAGGUGCACACCACCAUGCCCGGCUAAUUUUUGUAUUUUUAGUAGAGACGGGGUUUUGCCAUGAUGGCCAGGUUUGGUCUCAAACUCCUAACCUCAAGUGAUCCACCCUCCUCAGCCUCCCAAAGUGCUGGGAUUACAGGCGUGAGCCACUGCGCCCCGCCUACUUGAAUUUUUUUUUUUUUUUUUUUUUUUGAGACAGAGUUUUGCUCCUGUUGCCCAGGCUGGAGUGCAACGGCAUGAUCUCGACUCACUGCAACCUCUGCCUCCUGGGUUCAAGUGAUUCUCCUGCCUCAGCCUCCCAAAUAGCUGGGAUUACAGGUGCCCACCACUGUGCCUGGCUGAUUGUAUUUUUAGUAGAGAUGGGGUUUCAUCAUGUUGGUCAGGCUGGUCUUGAACUCCAGACCUCAGGUGAUCGGACUGCCUCGGCCUCCCAAAGUGCUGGGAUUACAGGCAUGACCCACUGUGCCCGGACCUGCUUGAAUUUUUAUGAUGAGCAUGUUGGCAGAUCACGACUGCCAGCUCCGUGACAGCAAGAACCUUGUAUGACUUUUUCAUGAUGGAUGUUCAUCUGUGCCAUCUGUAAAUAUUGAAUAAAUAUUUGUGGAAUACAUGAAUCUAAAAGUGAAUGGAAUGAUAAAGAGGGAAAGGGUCAUGACAUCUACUACAGCAUUUGGCACAGACCCAGCUGUCUGCAGUACUAUCAAGAGAUGACAUGGACUUCAAGGAUCAAACAGGGGAGAAAAAGGCUUAAAAGAAAAACAAGUCUCCAUCAAAGUCCUCCUGACAUCUUAAUCUAUCUGCCAACGCUACAUGCCGUCAAGCCAAGGAAGAAUUUCCUUCUCACUGUUGCUUCUCUGACCAAGGAAGACAUAAGCACAACCAAUCACCAGACUGAUGAAAUUCCUUCCAGUUUCAGAAAAGAUUAUCACCAAUCCCUACAUUAUAAAAUUCAUACUAAUAAAGCACAAACAUUGAAUUCUAACAUUAUAUGCUAUGUGACAAGACUACUUAAUUGUAUGUGUGUAUGUGUAAUUAUUUUCAAGUUAACCAUCUAAAUUUUACCUGUACAAGAAAGCAGUUAUUAGGCAUGUGAUAGAUGCACUGUGUUAAUUAACGUGGCCUUUCACAAGCCCUGUAGAGACAGCCC